UACGGGGGGGCAAGCGUUGUUCGGAAUUACUGGGCGUAAAGGGCUCGUAGGCGGCCAACUAAGUCGGAUGUGAAAUCCCCAGGCUUAACCUGGGAACUGCAUCCGAUACUGGAUGGCUUGAAUCCGGGAGAGGGAUGCAGAAUUCCAGGUGUAGCGGUGAAAUGCGUAGAGAUGUGGAGGAACACCGAUGGCGAAGGCAGCCCCCUGGGCUGAGAUUGACGCUCAGGCACGAAAGCGUGGGGAGCAAACAGG
rnacentral:rRNA from 1 species